UCCAUUUUUGUCCCUACAUUCAAACUGCUCUAUUACUGUAGAUACAUGUUAGAACACUUUCACUCUCUCAUUCACAUCUGCAAAGAAAAAGAAUUUUAAUGAAAAUUUGAAAACAAUUAAAAUACCAUUCUAUUAUUUUAUUUUAUUUUUGAUAAAUCAUUUUCCCUUAUAAUAAAGGAUAUUGUUACCACCGUGUCGAUAACUCCACCGUCAAUUAGCUGUUGGAUACAAAAUGAUGAGAUCAGUAAAGAGGCUCCCGCAGGGCAGACGACAUUUCUCAUGGCAUUCUGUCAUAUGUGUCGCUGCCUCGAAACUAGGAAUCUGGCAUCGUCGUCUUCCCAAAGUAUUACAAAGAUACAUUGGAGACCUUGGAGCUCAAUGCAUGACAUGGAUUUUCAGUAAGUGCAGUUCAUCGUGGAAUCUAGCAACAAAGGAAUUCUUUAUCAUGUGCGGUGAAAGCUGGCUGGAUUAGGUGAUUUUGAUGGCGGUGAAAGCUGAGGCGAGAAACUUUUGAUAGACAUCAGCCACUCUUAAGUGUAUUCUUGUUAAUGAGGGGAUUAAAGUUUCUUUCUUUAAUUCUUUUUUAAUUCAAAAGUGUAGGGUUUUCUCUCUCUAGAUUAUUUUUUACUUUGAGCCAAUCAAUUCCUAAAUUGUUAGUGUUAUCAUGAUAAAGUUGAGUUUGGAGUAUCAA